UGCAAAUGAUGAUAAAAUCAAGGCUUGUUUCUCUAUAUUCGCAGUUGCCACCUAAGAGCUUUAGCCCAAUCAGGCUUGAGAGCUAGUGUUGCUAAAUGCUUGGAUGUCUGUUGCA